rnacentral:rRNA from 1 species
UACAGAGGGGGCUAGCGUUGUUCGGAAUCACUGGGUGUAAAGGGUGCGUAGGCUGUCCGUUAAGUCUGAUGUGAAAGCCCUGGGCUCAACUCAGGAAUUGCAUUGGAAACUGGCGGACUCAGAGUACCGGAGAGGGAAGCGGAAUUCCUGGUGUAGCGGUGAAAUGCGUAGAUACCAGGAGGAACACCGGUGGCGAAAGCGGUUUCCUGGCCGAGUACUGACGCUGAGGCACGAAAGCGUGGGGAGCGAACGGG